UAUAAAUUCUCUGCUUAAUGUUUGGACUGAGCACAAUGAUUGAACUCAUCUAUGCAUUACCUGUCAACUCAAAAUUAAAAAAAUAAAUAAAUGAAGUUUAAUCUGUACAAGCAUUUUCUAUGUACCUUCAGUAAAAGCAACCAUAACAAAAAUGAUUCCAAACACAAUAUAAUGGCAUGUAAUGCAUCAGAGUAGGUUUGAGCUAAAAAUAAGCACCUUUAUGGACAACAAUAUACAAGAUUAGCAAGACGUUUCUAGCAACUGUAAUUUAUGAGAUUAGUAUGCUAUCUUCAUCAAGUAGGCCGAAACAGAAAAAGUAACCCCUAUACCCUCCUGUUCACUUCUCAGAUCUCAUUUGUCAAAGCCAAAUGACAAGAUGCAGGAAAUUUGCAAAAUACUUAACAGCAAGAAAUUAUAUUUACCAAACAUAAAUUACAAAUGAAAUGUUGGCAAAGGAACACUAACUGGUCUCGCUCAUGCACAAGGGUUUCCAUUAGAGUGGGGAACUCCUUACUCAUCUCUUGAAUCACAAGUGUCAGCAUGUCAACAUCAUCCAUUUCCUUGAGCAUUUUGUUAAGGUCCUCAGGACUAGGUAAAAAGAAUGCUUGAAAAAGCAGAGAGUACAAUAAUUUUGUCUUAUGCCAAAGAGGCAUUUUCCCCCAUGUCCUUCGUAAUGUAAUCUGUACAGGGCGAUCACCAAGUAUCACUUUGCCACCAUAUGAUCUUGCUUCUUCAAAAGCCACUCGAAACUCAGAACCCGGAAAAACCUCAAGCUUAUUGGCAACCUUGGCAAGAAACCAGCUAUAAAGUAUCCCAAACAGGUUAUGUUUUUUCUUCCACAUCUCUAUCAUUUCUCCCAUUGUUGGAACCUUUAAAUUCUGAGGAGUAAGCACAGCCACUCGACUAGAACACAACUCCAAAAAGACAACCUGUGGUUUCAAGAAGCGGAUUACAGCUUCAACUUCUUUACAUGAUUCCUGAGAAACAUGUGCUGUGCCAACCAAGUACACAUCGCACGAUCCACCCUCCGCCGUAGACUCGCAAUUGAGAACCACCACACUUCUAGAAAGCCCCUCCGGAAGCUCCGUCCUCUGCGGCUCACUAACACUCCCUCCAUCGGCGCCAGUGUCCACCCUCAGCUCAUCAGCAACAUCGACAAUGCUCUCGCUCAAAGCCUCGACGUUAGGAUUAGGAUUUUCGAUGUGAACAAAGUCUUCGGCAGCAGGAGGCGGCUCCGCUGAUUCCGGCGCGUUGGGGUCCAUCGCCGGAGCGUUCCGGUUGGGUCCAGGAAGAUUACUGGCUUUGGUCGCAAAUGAGGCAAUUUUAGAGAAUUUUGGAGUUGAGAAUAUAAUGUGAGGAGUAAACGUGAAGUUUCUUGGGGAUCUAAGGGGAAGAAAUUUUAUGGUGGCGGAGAAGAAGCGAUGUGACUCGGGCGAGUUCAGUUGAGUGAUAAGCCGAGUCGAGCAAUUCAUGGAUCGGGCAUGAUGUUUUAUAUACACAAGUAGGAAAAAUUCUUGCCUGCAGUCCUGCCUCUUUCUGCUACGCAG
rnacentral:misc_RNA from 1 species